rnacentral:rRNA from 1 species
GAUGAACGCUAGCGGCAGGCUUAAUACAUGCAAGUCGUGGGGCAGCAGGGUUGUAGCAAUACAAUCGCUGGCGACCGGCAAACGGGUGCGUAACACGUACGCAACCUUCCCGUUACUGUGGCAUAGCCCAGGGAAACUUGGAUUAAUACCACAUAUUAUAUUGAUGAGGCAUCUCAUUGAUAUCAAAGCUUCGGCGGUAACGGAUGGGCGUGCGGUUGAUUAGGUAGUUGGCGGGGUAACGGCCCACCAAGCCUACGAUCAAUAGCUGAUGUGAGAGCAUGAUCAGCCACACGGGCACUGAGACACGGGCCCGACUCCUACGGGAGGCAGCAGUAAGGAAUAUUGGGCAAUGGACGAAAGUCUGACCCAGCCAUGCCGCGUGAAGGAUUAAGGUCCUCUGGAUUGUAAACUUCUUUUCUCUGGGGCGAAAACCAGCUAUUCUUAGCUAUCUGACAGUACCAGAGGAAUAAGCACCGGCUAACUCCGUGCCAGCAGCCGCAGUAACAC